AUGGACCUAACUGCGCUCUCAACCGUCAAUGUGGUCACAAAGCUCACUACAGCCCUCUCAAUGGGAGCUGCUCUUGCCUUUUUAAGACAAUGGGCCCAACCUGUGAGGAAAGUAGUUCAGAUGAUCCUCAAUAACCAAACACUAACAACUUUUCAGUUGGGCACCAUGUGUGCUAGGCCUGAAGACUAUGAAAGAAGCAGAUGGUCCACAAGAGAGCAAGGAGAUUUGUUUAAGAAAGGAGUCCUUGGCUACGACUUCACUUCCCAAGUGACUAACUCAUCUGGGCAAAGGAAGAGAAGCCUGAAACGUUCAGAUUGUUGUGAGGGGAAGUCAGCCCGACAGGCUGAGUUGCCUUUCUUGUCCUUGGCAUUGUAACACCGCACAGUCUUCUGUUGUUCCUGGAACCACUCAAGCAUAUAAUGAAUGGAGUACCACUGAUUGGAAACGUUCGGCCCUAGAUGAUAUUUCCGCAAGUUGUUUUCCUUCUACAACUUGGUAAUGGAUUUUUCUAACUUUAACAGGAUGGUUGAGUGUCUCUUGGUUUUAUAUGCUGUUGCCUGCUCUGGAUCCAACUCUGUCCAGUUAUCAUGUCAUUUUUUUUUUUUUUUCAGCACUGAAAGUCAACUACUCUCCAAAAUCUUAAAUGUUUUUCUUGGAGAGCUGCAUGAUCCUAAGCAAACAAACAAAUUGAAGAGCCAUUCUGGCUUUUCUGAAGAAAAUGAAACUUUUUAAAAAAAUAAAUGAGUUAAAUUUUUGGAACUGGAGCUUAGGUUCACUGAAUUCUGCAGAGGUCAGGAGAGAGUAAGGAAUGUUUGACAGUUUUUGGGCAGGAGGGAGAUGGUGCUCUGUGAGGCUGACCUAUUUUGGUACCAGCACCUGGUAAGACCAAUUGUAGGAUAAGGCAGAGGUCUGAGUUGUGAAUAGUAAUGAAACACUGUGAAGACAGACUAGCCAUAUGUACCUGUGUUAACUUCUCAGCUCCACUAGUAACUAGAUGGGUGAACUUGGACAAAGUUCUUAAAAUCUGUGAACUUCCAUUUCACAUCCAUGUAGUGCUGCGAAAAUUAACAUGUAUUGAGUACUUAUUAUAUGCUGGCCACUAUUCUAAGCACGUUGUCUGUGAUGUCUCAAUUAAUUUUCACAAUAAUCCUAUGAGGCAUAAAGCAAAUAUUAUUAUUUAGAUUGUACAAAGAUGAGGAUACUAAGAGAAAGGAUACCUGGUCAAAGAUAACCAAGUUAGCAAUAACAAAGUUCGAACAUAAAUCUAGGCAAUUUGGCUAUAAAAGUUAUAUUUUUCACCAUCAUUGUGUAAUUAAGUCACUUAAUGUACUUCCUGGCAUAUAAUUAGCAUUUAAUAAAUCGGAGUUUUAAUUUUUUUCUUCAACUUUUAAGUUCGGAGGUACAUGUACAGGAUGUGCCAGUUUGUUACAUAGGUAAAGGUAAAUUACAGUGGUUUGAUGCACAGAUCAUCCCAUCCCCCAGCUAUUAAGCCAGCAUCCACUAGCUGUUCUUUCUAAUGCUCUCCCUCCCCCAAUCCUCCACCCAACAGACCCCAAUGCAUGUUGUUCCAUGCUGUGUGUCGAUGUGUUCUCUUAAUUCAGCUCCCACUUAUAAGUGAGAACAUGUGGUGUUUGGUUUUCUGUUCCUGGGUUAGUUUGCUGAGGAUAAUGGCUUACAACUCCAUCCAUGUCCCUGCAAAGGACAUGAUCUUGUUCAUUUUUAUGGCUGCAUAAUAUUCCAUGGUGUAUCUGUACCACAUUUCUUUAUCAAGUCUACCACUCAUGGGUGUUUAGGUUGAUUCCAUGUCUUUGCUAUUGUGAAUAGUACUGCAAUGAACAUAUGUACAUGUAUCUCUAUAAUAGAAUGAUUUAUAUUCCUUUGGGUAUAUACCCAGUAAUGGAAUUGCUGGGUCAAAUGGUAUUUCUGUCUCUAGGUCUUUGAGAUAUGACCACACUGUCUUCCCCAAUGGUUGAACUAUGAAUUAAUUUACACUUUCACCAACAGUGUAAAAAUAUUCCUUUUUCUCUGCAACCUUGUCAGCAUCUGUUGGUUUUUAACUUUUUAAUAUUAGUCAUUCUGACUGGUGUGAGAUGAUAUCUCAUUAUUGUUUUGAUUAGCAUUUCUCUAAUGAUCAGUGAUGUUGAAGUUUUUUCAUAUAUUUCUUGGCCACAUGUAUGUCUUCUUUUAAGAAGUGUCUGUUCAUGUCCUUUGCCUGCUUUUAAUGGAGUCAUUUGAUUUGUUUCUUGUACAUUUGUUUAAGUUCCUUGUCGACCCUGGAUAUGAAACCUUUGUCUGGAUAUGAAACCUCGUCCUGGAUGGAUAGAUUGCAAAAAUUUUCUUCCAUUCUGUAGGUUGUCUGUUGACUCUGAUGAUAUUUUCUUUUGAUAUGCAGAAGCGCUUUAUUUUAAUUAGAUUCCAAUUAAAUGAGAGAUUUCAAUAUAUAUAGUCGAUUCUUGAAAAAUGUGGGAGUUAAGGGCACUAACCCUUUGCACAGUUGAAAAUCUGCAUGUAACAUUUGACUCUGCAAAAACUUAACUACUAAUAAAUUACUGUUGAACUGUUGACCAGAAACUUACUGAUUACAUAAACAUUUGAUUAUCACCCAUUUUGUAUGUUACAUGUGCUAUAUACCAUAUUCUUAACAAUAGAGUAAGUUAGAGAAAAGAAAAUGUUAUUAAGAAAAACAUAAAAGGAAAUAUACUAUUAAGUGGAAGUGGAUUUUCACAAAAGUCUUCAUCUUUGUUGCCUUUACAUUAAGUAGGCUGAGGAGGAGGAGGAAGUGGGAGAGGUUGUUUUUCUGUCUAAGGGGUGGCAGAAGCAGAAGGAAAUCCAUGCAUAUGUAGACGUUCACAGUUCAAAAUUUGUAUUGUUCAAUGAUCAUCUGUAUUUAGAAUAUAUAUUAUUUAUAUAUUUAAAUAUAUAUGUUUGUGAUUUUUUAAAAAAGAUUUAUUUCUGGAACUUUAAGCAACAAUCCAAAACCUUUAAUCUGCUAAAGAACUUAAUAAGCUUUGAGAAUUUGUAGAGUUGAUAGCUAGACUAGUCACUGAUUUAGAAAAGUUGAUUUCCAUAAACUUAGGAAACUUAGAAAGAGGCUCUAAAGUUAGGAUAGGCAUAAGGUAAGGGUCUUUUCUUUUCCCCACUACUACUUAUGAUGUGAUUUUUCUUUCAUAGAAAGGGAAAAAAUAAGUAAGGGUGUUUUUACUUUUUACUAUUGUUCUGCCAUAUUUUGCUUUGCUGUAAAUUGAUAAGACUUUGAUUCAUUUCCCCUAAUGAUUUUUAGAUUCACAUUUUGUCAGUCAGUCAAUUAAUCUUUGAGUGAGUGAGUUUCUAUGCUCUAGACACUAUGAGGGCACAAGUCUGACUCCAUGGUUACACAAUAGACACCAAUACCAAGUCUUAAUCAUUUCAUGGAAAGUCCCUGCUGUAGUCCAUCUUGAAUAUAAAACUAAAAAAUUACCAUAGGGAGGUCUAUGUGCCUUCUAUUAG
rnacentral:lncRNA from 1 species